UACAGGGGGUGCAAACGUUGCUCGGAAUUAUUGGGCGUAAAGAGCUCGUAGGCGGUUUGUCGCGUCUGCUGUGAAAACUCGGGGCUUAACUCCGAGCCUGCAGUGGGUACGGGCAGACUAGGGUGCGGUAGGGGAGACUGGAAUUCCUGGUGUAGCGGUGAAAUGCGCAGAUAUCAGGAAGAACACCCGUGGCGAAGGCGGCUCUCUGGGACGGUACUGACGCUGAGACGCGAAAGCGUGGGGAGCGAACAGG
rnacentral:rRNA from 1 species